UGGGGAAUAUUGCACAAUGGGCGCAAGCCUGAUGCAGCAACGCCGCGUGAACGAUGAAGGUCUUCGGAUCGUAAAGUUCUGUUGCAGGGGAAGAUAAUGACGGUACCCUGUGAGGAAGCCCCGGCGAACUACGUGCCAGCAGGCGCGGUAAUACGUAGGGGGCUAGCGUUAUCUGGAUUUACUGGGCGGAAAGGGUGCGUAGGUGGUCUUUCAAGUCGGUGGUUAAAGGCUACGGCUCAACCGUAUUUAGCCUCCGAAACUGGAAGACUUGAGUGGCGGAGAGGAAAGUGGAAUUCGCAGUGUAGCGGUGAAAUGCGUAAAUAUUUGGUGGAACACCAGUAGCGAAGGCAGCUUUCUGGACUGUAACUGACACUGAGGCACGAAAGCAUGGGUAGCAAACAGG
rnacentral:rRNA from 1 species